CUCAGCUGUCAGGCGGGCGGCCGGAGACACAAAGAGCGCGGUGGGCGGCGGCGGCCGGGCGGCCACUCCCCGCCCGCUCCGCUCCGGCCGGUCCGAACGGCGGAGACAAUGCCUGCCCGGCCGCCGGUCCUGGGCAGCGCCCCCGCCGGGACCUCGGGCGCCUCCGCCCCCGGCCGGGAAAAGUUUGCGGCGGGACGGCACCGCGUCCGCGCUUUCCGCGGCCGCUUUCCGGACUCGGCGUCGGCGGGCACAGGGCCGGAGGCACCGGCCGGCCGCGCUCUGGAAAGUUGCUGUAGAAGAAAGGGGAAAAGGAAGACGCUGCUGGAGGAGAUCAGUAGCUCUGGAGACGAUGGAAGUUUACGUUUCUAAAUGGUUUGGAAGGUGCUACAUUAAGAGGAACUGGGAAGAUUCACAAUGGUGGACCUCUGAGGAAUGGAAAAAACAGAAUCAAGACCAGAAGAGCUGGGAAGAUAAGAUGAGCAAGUGGCCCAAGAUGUUCCAGGCAGUGAAGAGACCAAAGGCUGGAAGGUGGCUGGGGUUUCUGGGUGAAGGUGGUGGAUGGAUGGUAUGUGUUGAAGUUAAAGUCUUUCAGGAGUCUCCGAAACAUUGUUGUAAAGCAGAACUCUGUGAGGGCGAGGAGAGCAAGAGAAAAAGUAACAGCAGCACCAUUUUUUUUCAAGUUCUUUUAUUGGUACAUUUUAGGUAUACAAUUCGUUUACAUUUAUCACUGGGUGCUUGUACCUGUACAUGACGUAUCUUGCUUCUUAUUUUUUUCCUCAUUACCUGUGUGCCCUUCACCCCCUCCACCCUUCCCUAUUUACAUAGAUUUCAUUUCCAUUUUUUUCCUUUUCUCAUAGUUUUUCCUUUCCCUCCUUUCCUUUCCCCUUCCCCUCUUUUCACCUCUUCGUCUUUGGACUUUUUUCCUAUUUCAAAUUAUCAAUUAUUCAUUUUAAUCAUUUUAACCCUUGUUUACACUAUCAGUUUCUCACACUGAAACUAUUUGGUAUUUACUUGUGUGUCCUAUUCAUUUCACUUAAGAGUAUGGCCUCUAUAUGCAUCCAUUUAUCUAUAAAUGACUGUAGUUUUUCGUUCUUCAUGGCUGAGUAGUACUCCAUUUUAUAAAAAAAACAAAAACACAUCUACUUUAUCCAGUUUCCAAUUGAUAGGCACUUGGGCUGCUUCCAAGCUUUACCUAUUUUAAACUGUGCCGCUAUGAACAUGGGUGCACAUAUAUCGCUGUGGUAUGAUUCUUUUAAUUCUUUUGGGAAGAUACCCAGCAGGGGAAUAGCUGGGUCAAAUGGGACCUCUAGUCCUAGUUCUUUGAGGUAUCUCCAUACUGAUUUCCACAGUGGUUGCACUAGUCUACACUCCCACCAGCAAUGGAGAAGGUUUCCUUUCUCCCCACACCCCCACCAGCAUUUGUUAUUGGUUGAUUUCUUGAUAGCAGCCAUUCUUUCUGGGGUGAGGUGGAAUCUCAAUGUUGUUUUCAUCUGCAUCUCUCGAAUGACCAGUGAUGUUGAACAUUUGUUCAUAUAUUUGUUUGCUGCUUUUACUUCUUUGUCUGAGAAAUGUCUGUUCAUUUCAGAUGCCCAUUUUUGAAUUGGGUCUUUGAAUUUGGGAGGUCUGAUUUUUUUUCAAUUCUUUAUAUGUUCUAGAUAGUAGUCCUUUGUCUGAGGUACAGCUGCUAAAAAUUUUUUCCCAUAUUGUAGGUUGUCUGUUAGCUCUGUUGGUGGUUUCUUUUGCAGUGCAGAAGCUUUUUAAUAAGAUGAGAUCCCAGUUGUUGAUUCUUUGUGCUAGUUCCCAUGCUACUGAGGUUUUGUUCAUGAAGUCUUUUCCUAUGCCAAUGUCUUCAAAAGUUCUACCGAACUUAUCUUCCAACAAUUUUAGUGUUUCUGUCUUAGUAUUUAGAUCUUUAAUCCACUUUGAUCUUAGUUUAGUGCAUGGUGAUAGGUAUGGGUCUAGUUUUAAUCUUUGGCAGGUUGAAAUCCAGUUUUUCCAACACCAUUUAUUAAAUAGGCUAUCUUUCCUCCAAUGAUGGUGGUUGGCUCCUUUGUCAAAGAUGAGGUGGCUGAGUAUGUCUGGAGUUGCUUCUGCAUCUUCUAAUCUAUUCCACUGAUCCUCAGGUCUGUUCUUUGCCAGUACCAUGCUCUUUUUAACACAGUAGCUUUGCAGUAUAAUUUCAAGUUGGGGAUUGUGAUACCCCCAGCCAUGUCUCUCUUGCUUAGAAUUGCUUUUGCUAUUCUAGGUCUCUUCUUGUUCCAAAUGAAUUUUUGGAUUGUUUUCUCUAGUUCUGUGAAGUAUGUUGUUGGCAUUUCAAUCGGCAUUGCAUUGAAUCUGUAUAGUAGUUAUGGAAGUAUGGCCAUUUUCACUAUAUUGAUUCUUCCUACCCAGGAACAAGGGAUGUCUUUCCAUUUUCUUAUAUCCUCCUCAAUCUCCUUUUUCAGAGUGCUGUACUUUUCAGUGUAGAGGUCUUUUGCUUCCUUUGUUAGAUUGAUUCCUAGAUAUUUCAUUAUUUUGGAUGCUAUUGUAAAAGGAAUUGUUUCCCUGAUUUCUCGCUCAGUGAGUCUUUUAUUUGAGCAGCAUAAAAGUAGGUAGCAGGACUGAGGAUUUAGCUCAGUGCUUCCGGUGCCUGCCUCACAAACACAAGGUCGUAAAUUUGAUCCCCGGUACCAAAAAAAAAAAAAAAAAAGUAGGUCGCAGAAGUAUAAAAGACAAAACCUUCAAAACAAAAAUUUGAAGGGAAAGUUGAGGAUACCUCCAUGGAAAUAGAACAGAUCCACAACAACAAAUGGAAAUAGGGGGAAAAAAUUAAGUUAGCCAGCCAGAUUAUUGAUCAAAUCUGUAAUAGGAACUCCACAGAGUGGUCAGAGAAAAGUGUCAGUAAUUCAAGAAAAGUCUUUUUUUUUUUUUUUUGGCACUGGGGAUAGAACUAACCAUUGUGAAACCACUGAGCUAAAUCCCCGGCCCCAAGAAAAGUCUUUAUGACCGAGAAACAUGUUCAUAGGGCCAGGAUUUAGCUCAGCAGCAUAGCACCUACCUGGUAAGAGCGAGGUCCUGAGUUCGGUCCCCGGUACCAAAAAAAAAAAUGUUCACAGGACCCAAAGAGAGCCCACUACAAGGUAUAUCACCAGUGAGUUUCAGAACAUCAAGGACAAAAAUGUCCUGACAUUAGAAGCAGGUCACAUACUAACUGGAGUCAGAAUGGCUGUGGGCUUCUCCGCAGCAGCAAGUAGAAAUUAGAAGGCAAGAAAACAGCCUUGGGAAAUGUAAAGGAAAAUUCUUUUCCACCCUUCACCCAGGUGAACUAUAAACCUAGUGUAGUCGGCAUCCCUUCCCAGCAAGGAUGUUUCCUGAGAAAUGCCGUCAGGCAAUUUUAUUAUUGUCUGAAUGAACAUUGUACUGUGAGGUCUCAUAAACCUGCAUGGUGUAGGUCAGCUAAUCCAUGUGGCCUCUUGAGCAAUGAAGAGACACAAGUUGCUGCCUUUGUCCUGAGCCUACUAUGUGCUCUAGUUGGACAAGUGUCCCCAGAGGCCCGUGUGUUAUAUAUUGGUCCCCUGCCCAGGUUCUCUUGGAGGUGGAGCCUUAAAGACCUUAAAGGGCCUUGUGAGAGGUCUUAGCUCAUUAAAGGAGUGCCGGUGAGGGGAUAUUGGGGCCUCUGCCUCUUGUCUUCCCUUCUGCCUCCCAGCCCCUCCGUGUGUCUCCUCCGUGUGUCUCGUCGUGCUGUGCUCCACUGCCGCAGGCUGGGAGCAACAGGGCCAAUCAGCCUUGGUCUGAAACCUCCAAAAUCAUGAGCCAAAAUAAAGCUUUCCUGUUUUUUUGUUGUUUUUUUUAAAAAAGAGGAACUGGGAAACAAGAACACAAGGUAUGUGGGGUCUCUAUUAUAUCCACUCCAUGUAAAUCUUUGAUUAUUUCAAAACAAAUUUCUAUUAAAAAAUGAAGGAGGACUCUUCAUUUUCAUAAAGAUCAUGAUCAGACAAAAUGAACUAUAUUGUAUAGAAGUAUGGGUAGUAGAACUGAAGAAAAUAAAAUGAUUGUUAUAAAACUCAGUCUAGUGGCUUCCUCCACAGUGGGAGUAGGAGAUUGUCACUGGGGAAUAGUAAAGGGUGGGUGUUCUUGACCUUCAAGAUCUUUACACUUCUGUAUACUUCAAUUCAUUGAACUGUACAUCUAUGAUUUUAAAACUUUUUAUAAGAGAAGGUGCUGACUAGCAGCCCAUAGUUUGUUGUACCCUAGUCUAGUACUCAAAAAGAUCUCAUAGUUCCAUAAAGUAAAAAUAUUUGACCACAAUAACACUGAAAAUUAAAACUAAAACUAAAAGAUGGUGAGCCUGGAAAUUAAAGCAUCAUGUAUUAAAUAAUUAUUAGGUGUAUGAGUAAUAAAACAAAAAUGGUGAAUUUCUGAAAAAGAACAAUAAUAAAAACUAUGCAUCAGAAAUCAUGGGAUACAUUUAAAGCAAUGAUUAGAGAGUGAUUUAUAUACCUAUAAAAUGAAUGAAUAAAAAUGAGUUAAAUUUCCAACUCAAAAUACUAAACAAAGUACAAAAUAAACAGAUAAAGGUAUAAGAAAGGAAUUACUAAAAAGAUUAAUGAAGUUGAAAACAAAAUCAGAAAUUCAUCAGAUUACUGGCUCCUGAAGAAAUAAAACAGACAAACCACUACAUAAUCAAAGAAGAAAGAUGAAUAAUAAAAUAAGAAAUUAUAUAGAACUAACUGUGAUAGUGGGAAUUUUUUUAAAAGUCACAACUACUUUUGUGUAUCUACCUGUAUGCAUAUAAAUUUGAAACAUAGAAGAAAUGGAUAAUUUCUAAUGCAAAUAUUCUAUACUCAAACUGACCCCAAUCGAAUUUGAAUGUGGUAGUAUAUACUUAUAAUCCCAGCCCUCUGGGAGGCUGAUGCAGGAAGAUCAUAAGUCUUAGCCCAGCCUGGCGACUUAGCAAUUUAGCAAGAUCUUGUCUCAAAAACAUAAAUUAAAGGGCUUGAGAUGUAGCUCAGAAUGAAGGCCCUGGGUUCAAUCCUAGUAUUGCAGGAAAAAAAAAAAAAAAAAAAAAAAAGAACAAAUAACUUCAGUAAUGUACUAGAGAAUGGGCUCUGAGAACACAUUAAGACGUUAAUGCAUCACAAUCAAACUAGAUUUAUAUUGGGGAUGCAAAAUGAUUUCUAUUUUUAAAAAUAAAAUUUACUAUUUAAUAGGCAUCUGGGAAAGAUGAUUUUUCUUUACAGGUGUUAAAAGUUGAUUUUGGCAAAAUUCAACCCAUUGUCAGUUUAAAAAAAAUUGUAAAUAGUAAUGAACACAAGGCAUUUCCAAUGAGGUCAGGAAAUAGGUUAGGGUGCCCACUAACUCCCCUGGAAUCUGGCACUAUCGGAAUGCAACACUCACAGCAGUCAGACUAGAGGAAAUAACCAGAGGUACGGGAGUAGGAAAUAAGUAAGUUUACUCAUAUUUGUAGAUGACAUUGUAGCACAUGUGAAAAAUCCUAGUGAAUCCAUAAUAAAAUGAACUCAAAGAAAAGUCAGUAAAGUAGCAGGAAGUAAAAUAACAUGUAAAACUCAGUAUCACUUAUAUGCACAUACAGACGCUAAUUAGAAGAUACAAUGAAUGCAAAACACCACUGUAAUAAAUGGUAACAAAAAUACAUAAUGAAAAUAAAAAUAUUUAGGAACAAACUUAUCAAGAAAUGCCCAGAACCUAUGUGAAGAAAACUAUAAAAUACUUCUAUGAGACAUAAAAAUAAGUCUGUAAAAAUGGAGAGAUAUUUCUUAUCCUUGAUUAGCACAUCUCAACAUUAUCAGGUUGUAAGUUCUUCCCAGAGUAAGUUACAAAAGCAAUCCCAAUAAAAAUUCCCAUGGACUUUAACUUCUGUAUGCAAAGAGAACAUAGAGUGAGAAAUGCAGAAGAGGAGCGAAGACAGAUGAAAGAGAGAAAAGGCAGAGAGACUCCAAGUGUGGAAAUGGCUUGAUCCCCAUGGCUGAUGGGGAUGGAGGGAGGGGGCCCCUAGUCAGACAAUAGGAGCAGAUUCUCAAAGGUAAGAAACAAAGCCAGCCUAGGCCCUGCAAAGAAAUGAGGACUUCUCAUUUCCCACGGGCAAGUGAACUCUACAGCAAUACUGGGAGUUCCUUCCCCAGUAACACUGAUUUGGCCUUUGGGAGCUAGGGCAGAAAAGCAGCCAGGCCAACCCACAGAACAUGAAAGCACUGUAGGAAGACAAUAGUGCUACAAGCUCUGCUGACCACAAACCUAUGCUCCAAACAAGAGAUGACAUGUAUACAUGCGGUAUGUUACGGAUAAUUACACUGAAGUUAAUUGAAUUUUUAAAAAAUAAGUGAGAAUAGCCAAGAAAGUUUUGACAGAACUAUCAUGAAAGAAAUUUGCCUUACCCAGAUUGAAAAGUUUUAAAAGGUGCAAUAAUGGAAAUGGAAUAGUAUUGUCUCAGGAAUAAACAAACAUAUUGAUGAAACAGAAAUGUGAGCCUACAUAUAAAAUUAUGUAUGUUAUAAAGAUCAUUAGAAGCUGAUAGAUAAAAAUUAUUCAAUAAAUAAUACUAGGACAGUUGGUAAAGUAUUGAGGGAAAUUAAAUUAGAUCUUUGCAGUAUUAAAAGUAAAUCAUAGCUAGAUUAAACAGUUAAAUAUUUUGACAACAAUUAAGCUUCAUUGUCAACUUGUCUUGUGAGCCACUUACAGGAGUAGUAAAGCAUACAUUACUCAAGAAUGGGUCAUGGAGGUGGUUCAUGGCUCCUUCCUCUCUGGUACUGUUCCCUGCUCUGCUUCCCAGCUGCCAUGAACUAAGAAUUUUUGCUCCACUGUAUCCUUUUGCCACGAUGUUCUUAUCUAGGAGCCAGCCAAGCAUGGACUGAAUCUCCUGAAACCAUGAGCCACUCUAAACUUCUCUUCUUUUAGGUUGUGAGUGUUAAGUAUUUUGUUCCAGCAACAGGGAAGCUGAUACAUUUUUUAAAAGCCAAAUAUAAAAUAUUUAUAUAAUCUGAAGGUAGGGGGAAAUUUUCAAAGCAUUAUAGCAACCUUAAAAAUCCACAAGAUAUAGGACUCAUAAAUAAAGACAAUCAAAAUCAUACAUAUAAAAAUAUGCUAAACAAAAUAUGAAUAAUUUGGAGAAAUAACUGCAAACUUACAACAUAGAACUAACAGUUGUAAGAUGUGAAACAUCAUUCAGACAGAAACUUUUUAAAAAUGGGAAAUAUAAAUAACUAAAUGUUUCAACACCAAGAAUGAUCACAAGAGUUUCUAAAAUAUAAGUUCUGUAACAUUGAAAGCAAUCACUUCUGACUGAAAAGUUACUCCUUCAUGAAAUGGUCCAUUGGCUCAUGAUAGCUACAGAAAAUUGAGAAUCUAAGCUGGUGUAAUACUUUUUUGAACUGCAAUUUUUUAAAACUUUGGACCAUGCCAAAGGAGUAUAAAAUUCUAUUGUUCAAUUAUUCUACAUGCUCAUCCUUGAGAUUACAAAACAUUUUCCAGAGUUAAUAGAGAAAUUGGCUUUUUUUUUUUGGUACUGGGGAUCGAACUCGGGUCCUUGCACUUGCACAGCAGGCAGAGAAACCACUGAGCUAAAUCCCCAGCCCAGAAAUUGGCUAUUUUUGAUGAACCCUUAUUCAGAAGGUAAAUUUUAAUAUUCUAACUGAUGCUAGAAACAAAGGAAAAUGUACAUCUGUCAUGAUAAACAUAAGUUCUAUUGGAUCCAGAAUUUUAAGACCUCGUGGACUCUUCUGGACCACGGAGGCCAUCAGAUAUUAUUUUGAAUCUCAGAUUUGAAGUAAGUGCAAUUGACCUGAUUUUGCUUACCCUGAUUUAAACUCAUAUAAAUUAGUGUGAUGGUAUCCAGCUUGAGCCCAUCUUCUCUGAACACUUAAAUGUGGACCCAACUCCAAGGCAGAAGCAGUAAACUGUAGUUGUCUUAAACUAGUGUCAGUCCAUACAUAGAUACAAUUGAGAGGUAUAUUCAUCCAGAGUAAUGGAGUAGGAGGUUGUUGUCAACUUGAUUUUCUGGUUUGUCCUUCCUAUGUUCCUUUUUGAAAUGAUAAGUCCUUAUUUUGUAUUUAAAUUUUUCCUCACUUUUAUGCACAAAAUUAACAUACUAUGUUUUUCACCUAAUUUUAUCUCCAGGAAAUUAUCAGUACAUGGUGCUCCACUCUAUUUUGUUUCAUGGCUGUACAGUACUCCAUUUUGUCCAUGUACCAAGUUGAUGCAACCAGUCUUGAUUAAUGCUUAACAAUCACAAAUAUUUCAUUAGUAACUGUGUAUAUGUAUUUUAUAUUGUUUUAUGUAUGUUCAAAUUAAAUUCAUGGAGAAAUUUCUCUGUUCAGGUUUGGUUAUAAAUGAUUGGUUAGGAUUGCCAAGCCCCCUGCCCUGAGGUUAUGCCAUUUUCCAUAUCCUUUGGCAAUGUAUAGCAUUACCUGUUACCUAACCAGCUACCAACAGAGUGCACAUUGCAGAAUGUAUUGCCAGUUUUAUGGGUAACAGAUGGAACAUCAUUGUAGUGUUCAUUAUUUGUUUUUCAUAUUAAUGAUAUUGCAUUUUUAAUAUUUCAUUUUUACAUCUCUUUUUGAGUAGUUGUUGAAGUUGUUUGUUCAAAUCUGUCCAAUCAUCUUCUUGUGUCUACUUUUUAACUGGGUUGUCUAUUAAUGAGCUGUAAGAGUUCUUUACAUAUUCUGGUCAUAGGUUAUAUGCAUUGUAAAUAUGGUCUGUUUAAGGACUACUUUUUAUUUUAACGAUGUCAUUUAAAGUUCCAAUUUUUUUUUAUGUCAUUUAAAGUUCCAAAUUUUGAGGGAAUCUCAUUUAUCAAUUUUUUUCUUUUAUACAUCGUGUUUUUUGUAUCCUAGGAAGUCCUUGCCUACACUAAAUUCAUAAAUAUUUUCCCUUAUAAUUUCUUCUUAUAGUUUUAGUCUUUCAUAUUUAGGUUCACAGAUCCUUUCAAGUUAUUUUUAUGUAUGGAAAUAAAAGAUUGAGGUUAAUAUUUUAUAUACAGAUACCAGGUGUUCUAGUGCCAUUUGCUGAAAAUGCUAUCUUUUCCUCUGCUCUUGAAUUGAGUUUAUAUUCUAUAAAAUGUUAAUGUUAAAUAAUCCUUCAAAACUCAGUGGACCAUAUAUGUGUGGUUCUAUUUGUAGAUUCUCUGUUUUAUUCCAAUGAUCUAUAUGUCUUUCCUUACACCAACACUGCCUUGAUUACUGUAGCUUUAGAGGAAGUCUUCAAAUUAGGUACUAAACAUCUUCCAACACUGUUUUUUUUUUCUUUUUCUUUUUACUUUUCUAGGCCCUUUAUACUCCUACAUAACUUUUAAAUUUCAAUAUCCAGUUCUUCAUUUAUAGCAGGUAUACACAGAUCUGAAUUUUUAUAUAUACCUUGUGUUUUCUAAUCCUGCUAAAUUCAAAUACAAGUUCUAGGGGCUCCUGGAGAUUUCUUAGUAUUUUCUCUGUAGAUGAUCAUUUUAUCUACAUAUAAAGAUUUUGCUUCUACCUUGCCAAUCCUAUCCUAAUUGUGUCAUUUUAUUGCCACUAUUUUGGUUUGGGCCUAUGUUUCAAAGUUUAAUGGACAGAUGAAGAGUAGGCAUAUCUGCCCUUGUUCCCCACCUUAGGGAGAAAGCAUUGUUUUCUCUAUUCAUAUAUGGUGUUUCUCCUGGAAGUAUGGAGUACAUGUCUUUUAUCUGUUGAGAAGGUUCUGUUCUACUUCUAGUCUCCUAAUAGCUUUUACCAUGAACAGCUGUAGAAUUUAGUCCAAUACUUUUUCUGCAACUACUGACAGGAUCGUGUGGCUUUUUCCUUUCCUCUGUUAAAAUGAUGACUUUUGGGGGUGGAUCUUCCAAUGCUGAACCAACACUGCCAUCCCUAUAACAAAACCACUUUCUACAUACUGCCAGAACUGACUUCUAAUAGUUUGUUUUCUUAAACAAAUUUCUACUUAUGUUCAUACUUUUUUCUUCUAUUAUCUUUAUCCAGUUUUAGGAUUAGCACAGUGUUGAUUUCCUAAAAUGGGAGAAGUGUUCCUUCUUUUUUCUGCUUUAAUUGUUUGAUAUAAUUUAUCAGUUAAAAUGUGUAUGAGCCUGCUGUUGUCAUAUAGGUAGGUUUUCAAGCUAGGAAUAUACUUUCUUUAAUAGGUGCUAUUCAAAUUUUAUAUUUCCUUCAGAGUUAGUUUCAUUAAUUUGUCUUCCAAGGUACUUCUUAGAAGUUGUCAAAUUUAUUUCAAAAAGAGAUUUUUGUAAUAUGCUUUCUAUAUCCUUUUAAAUUCUGUAAAAUCUGUGGCAAUUUCUCCUAGAUCUUGAUAUUGUAAUUUUAGAAAUGUAUAACUGAUAUUGUGUAAUAGGAAGAAAAGGUCUAAAGGAGCAGGGGAAGUGGGAGGGAUAGGGGGAAGGAAAGAAGGGAAAAUAAAAAAUAUGAGAAAAGGAAAAAAAUGGAAACAAAUAGGGAAGCGUGGAGGGGGUGAAGGGAGGGCAGGGGAAGGGGAAAAAAUAAGAACCAAGAUACAUCAUGUAAAGGUACAAGAUCCUAAUGAUGAAUGUAACUGUAUUGUAUACCUAAAAUGUACCAAUAAACUUAAUGGAAAGAAAGAAAAAAGAAAAGAAAACAGAAACUCAAAGCAUUAUGGGGAUCGUGGAUUUUCUUCUUUGCCUCUCUAUCCCCGAACUGCCUUGUUCUUACUUUCAAGUGGCUUAUGGAAAGGAUUAAAAGUGAAGGGUGAAAAUGAAAAAUAGGUGCUGUUUCUAUUGUCAGCCUUGGAAGUUCUGUGAACAGACUGAAAGUUCCUUCAAGGUCUAUGAAAAUAUUAGCAGAUGCCAAAAGGCCAGCAGCCAAGAUUUGUGUCUUUGUGCAGGAACUGAAUAGCUACCAACAGUUAGAAAAAUUUUAAAAACCUUGGCAAUGACAUAAAAGUCCUGUGAAAAGCAGUGAGAUCGAGAGAAAUGCUUUGAAAUAGAUUUAUGAACUUGUAAAAGAAUGUUUUCUACAGAUCCUAAGCCUCUAACUAUAUAGAAAUCUGACAUUUUAAGAUUAAGGAAGAACAUUUAUUUAUUCUCUACAUUAGUAAUAGUGGUUGAAGUAAACCUGAGCUAACUUAGGCCAUUAGAGAAGGGAGGUAAUGUGCAUAAUUGUUAGCAAAAAUUAAUGUUUACAACAAGCAAAUAUGUAAGUAUGUAAAACUAUUCUAGGUUGUCAGAAUAUUAACCCAUGACAUCUUAUAAGCUUUUUAUUAUUUUGGUAGUAAAUUAAUUAGUUACAUUCAGAAUAUUAUAAUUGACCUUCUUAAUUAUUUUAUGCUUCCAGAUAUUUAAAUCACAAAUAUAUGGUUUUGUUCAUCUUUUUAAAAAAUAUAGUCAACAUAAUAAAAAUAUUUAAUCUGUUUAUAAGAAUUGAAAUCAAUGGCAAGAGUUAAAGGUGCUUUUUGUACAAAGGAAUUUGAAUUUUUAAGAUAAAAUAUAUAUGAUAAAGUUGUGGUUCAGGAAAAUCUUUGGGAUUUAAUUACUGAUAAAAUUAUAAAACAUGUGGGCCAAGGAUUUAGCUCAAUGGUGCCACCACCUGCCUCACAAGCGCAAGGUCCUGAGUUCCAUCCCCAGUACCAAAAAAAAAUAUUAUAAAACAUGUAACUACCUCAUUAAUUCUUAGUUAAUAAUUUCCUUCAUUAUAAGCAGAACCCAUAGUUUGAUUUAUCUUUAUGAAGAAUGAAUUUUUAACUUUAUUUUUAUCAGUACAUAUUUGCAGUUCAUAAUGAUCGCAUUCCUCAUGGGGAGUUGGCACAUGUACAUAACACAUCUUAAUUCUUUUUUCAUCCUCUUCCUCUUCCUUCCCUUCCCCUUCCCUACAUCUCUUUGUCCACUUCCCCUUUGCAAAGGAUCUAUCUGUUUCCUAUUAUCUAUCUUUUAUUUUGUUCUUCAAUUUAUUUAUACUUUGGUUUUCUCAUAUAAGAGAAACCAUGCGAUAUUUAAGCUUGGAGGAAUGAAUUUAUUAAUUUUAUUUCUGUAAGAACGUCUAUUAAUAUACUUGGGUGUUAUGUCAGAAAACAAACAGUAGAGGGCACUUUAGUUCUCUAACAAAAUAAGCUUAGUCCAAAAUCUUAUAUAAAUCAAUGAAAUAGACAAUAAAAUUUGAACUACCCAAUAAAGGUUAUAGAAAAGUGAAGGCAAGUUCCUGGCUUCCCAUAGCCUAAUAAAAGAUAUGAUGAGCAGAUGAGCAGCAGUUUCUGUCUUUAGUCAAUCCAAAUAACAAUUGGGUGUCACAUGAAAAAUGCAAAUGUUCUAAGAAUUGCAAAUUAGUGAAUCCAGCAUUUUGAGAACAUUUCAUUUAAAAAACUCACACUUAUUUUAAAUUGGCCAAUCUAUUGAAUGUACUUGAUUUAAAUCAGUAAAUUGUCAUUAUCCAGAAUCGCAAGAAGUAACUAUAGCAGAAGUAGCAUAGUUCAUUUCCUUAGACAUGUUACUUAUUCAUAGUUCCCUCUAAAAUCAUUUUUAUCGUCAUCCUUGUCAUUACUGUCAUAAUCUAAUUUCAUGGUAUAAUGGCUACUUUCACGUAUCUUCCACUUUAAUUUUUCCAAGAUGAAUAUAUGAAACAAAAAUAUCAGAAAAAAAUACAUGAUUAAGUGUAAUUGUAUUGUUCAGUGUGUAAAUGGCUUCAGACAAAUUGUGGUAACUUGUGCAAUUUUCUCGGGCUUAGUUUUUACCUGUCAUAAAUGAAGUUCUAAAUUUAAUGAUGAGAUUCUAUAACAUUGUCAUCUGUUCUUAUUUUGUAUAUUAUUCUAGCAAAUUUAGUUAUCUGUGCCCUAGGUCUCAACAGAUUUGUGGCAAAUCUUAACUGUUUUAGGGCUCAAAGACCCUACAUUUUUAUAAAAGAUAGGGAGCUUAACUGCCUAAAAAUGCUAUAAUGGACACUUUACUCAAAAUGACCAUUCAUUUCAGGAGGUUCAAGGGCCCACAGCAAUCAAUGCAUAGGCUUUACAAACACUACACAAGAAUCUCUGACAGAGGCGAGGGUUACAUGGCUCCUUCGUACACAUUUGGGUGCUUAGUACUAGCAACUUUGGAUGUCACUGUUGCCUCAAGAUGAGCAGUGAAGCCGGAGAGAAUGUUGACAUGCCACAAUUCUGGACUUCAUCCCAUAAACCACAGGGCGUAAUCUGAAGUGUUUAAAUAUACAAGUGGAAAAUGUGCAUUUUAGGAAGUAAAAUCAGAGAAUAGAACAUUUUUAAAAAAUAGAAAGAAAAGGAAAACAGGAAGUAGGAAGACUGUCAGUCUAUUGGCUUCAUAGCUCAGGUGAGAUACAUUGAUAACCUGUUUUUAAAAGUCUUCCAAAAUUAGGUGUGUUCCCUCUUCUAAGAUAGGCCUACUUUAAUCCUGCACAAUAAAUAAAGAGACAAAGUUUUCAAACACUGGAGGACAUUUGGAAACCAUACAAAUGACUGUUUUGCAAUUUGCGAAAUCAUUUUCUACUGGAAGCAGCAGGUAGAUAUUAGCAGCCUUGCUUUUAUGCCCUUUUCUCUAUGUGGAGUACUCCAAAAGCGUAAGCAGCUUAGGAUCCACUGGCAACUCCUCCUGAACAGACUGGCAUGGAGGGCUUUGCUCACCAUCCACAUCCACCUCAGGGACAAGCUCUGACCACUUACGUUACAAUGCUUGCGGCAGAAACAUAAAAUUUAUGGAGGCUGGGUCAGUCAGGAAAUUCCUCUCCAUUGCCAGACAGCUAAACUAAAACAGCAAGCAAGCAACAUUUCUGAAUGGAGAGGUUUAUCACAGGCAUUUAGUAGAAUUAAAUGAAAAAAUAUGUAUCAGGGUCCAUAGAUUGUCUCCUAGAAAAUUUGCAUAAAUCCUUAUAUUGCCACACAUUGUGAAUCUCAUUUGUUUCCUGUAAGGAAGUGGUGAGGAUGGGAUACAGAGGUGGAAUAAGAAGACUUUGACUAAGGGCCUCCAAGAAUGGGGCCAAAAUAAAGCAAAGUCAAUAGAAUUGAAGAAAAUUAGGUUUAAGUAUUUACUCAUUGAGUCUACUCAAAAUGUGUUAUUUAGACUGAUGUAGGAAGUGAAACACAGUUCUAAACUAUUUAUAGAACAAAUCUCACGUGGCUCUUUGGAGACACCCUCCAUACUUCCCCGGGUGGCCCAGGCCACACUCCAGCCUUGUGCCUGUCCACUCCUGCCUCAGGUCUAUGUUCAGUGGACAGCAGGCUGAUGGACACACCCUGCCUCACAAUGUCUCUGUGGCAUGAUGUCCCCUUGAGCCAGAUGCCCCUCCCCUUGACUUUCCACAUGGUACAAUCCUAUUCAUCCCCAAAUCGCAAUCCCAAAGCCAUCUUCUCUUGUUAAACUCAAGUGAGCCCCCACUGUCUACUUCCUGCAAGCAGAAUGGAUCACCUUUCUCUGCCAUCUGGGCCUGUGCUCAGAUGCCAAAUGGCCACCACAACAUCCACAAGUACAAGUAAUACGUCCUUCUUCCCACUGUCUGUCCACUCCUCGAAGAAGGAGCCUGGUCAAAUUCCUGGUGUCCCCCUGCCUCCUAGCACAACAUUGGCACACAUUAAAAAACAGGUCAAUGAAGGACCCUAGUUAGCAAGACAGACUCCAUAUUGCUGUUUGACCCACCUGCCUGUCCUUUAGAUGAACUCAGAAGGAGGAAGCUUAGAAACUUCCUCCCCUUAACAGUUAAUCAACUUUUGUUUUACAAAUGUUCUAACAGCAGGACAUUCUGCUUCUGUACCUUUUGCUUGCUUUACUAGUUCUAUCCCAUAGGGGGGGCCUAGAAACUGUUGGCCCCAAAGGUGUAUAAAACAUGUUUGUCUCCCCCCAGUUGAGGCUGGAGUCUGAUGCUCAGCUCGGGUCCCGGCCGGUAAUAAACUCCUGUGUGGAUUUCAUAUCGGUCUCUGGUUGGUUCUCUCUCCCUGGGUCUAACAGUCAAUAUUUUUUAAAGGAUGGAAUUCUAGUCAAAAGGCUAUUGGAAUAAUCCAGGCAAAAGGCUUAUAUGAGCCUAAAGAUGGAAGAUAGAACUAGGAAAGAAAAUUCAAAACUAUCAAAAUGGAAUAGAAUACAUUAAAUGGGUGAUGAAACACAGAAAUGAGAGAUAAGACCUCGGAGAGGAUUCUGACCAAAUAUUCUGCCUCAAAGUCUGAGAUGCUAUAAACCUGGAAAGAGUAGGACAAAAAGAGAAAAGUUAAUUUCUGUUUCAGACAAGCAGAGGAUGUCCAUGUGGGAGUGUUAAGCAGAGCACUGUGCAUUCAGAAUUGAAGCUGUGAGAGAAGCUCAGGGCUUGGAGCAGGACAGGAACCUGCCGAGCAGGGGCUGCCAAGAGAAGGGAGCCAAUGGCUGCAUUUGGGGUCCUGCCUCUAUUUACCAGAAAUAGGGGAACAAAGAGAAGAACUCUGAUGAGAGAUCAAAUGCAGAACUCCAAGAAAGGAGACCAAAGGUGUGGAAAUUGCCCCUGAGCUACAAGAGGACCAAAGAGGGUGUGGUCAUGGCAACCUCAGAGUGGCUCCUCCUGAACCGUGAGCCCAAAGGGGAAGGGUGGGAUGGGGACAGUGAGCAUGGCAUGCUCCUCAAGCACCAGUCAUAACAGGAGGGAGGAUGCUCUGCAAACUCCAGGAAUCAUUUCUCAUUGUGACCUACAUCGCCUUUUAACUGUAUGUUGUUUUAAACAAGUUUCAUUAAAGUUGGAGUGGCCCAAAGUUACCAAGAUAAAAUUUGCUUUUUCAUUUGUGAUGUUAAAAAUAGAAUCUAUAGAUAAGAUUGGGCUCUCUUUCUCUUUCUCCCUCUCCCUCUCCCUCUCCAUCUGGUACUGGAGAUUGAACACAGGGCCUUUGCAACGAGCAAUGUCCACAGCUUUGAGGCAGGGUCUUGCUAAUUCACUAAAAUUGGCCAGGCUAAGCUUGAUCUUGUGGCCCUCCUGCCUCAGCUGCCCAGAGUGCUGAGAUUACAGAUGACCACCACCAUGUGCAGCUUUUACUUUCUUUUAAAGUACAUCACUUAAUUCUCAAUGUACAUCAACUUAUUUUUGUGAAUUUUUUCCCUAAAAAGAUGAGAAAGAGAGACUAACAGUAAAUCCAGUUGAAUCACAUAUGCUGUCCUGCCUAUCUAGGGUGGGGUCAGGGUAUGAUUGUGAGCCCUUGAAAUGAUCAUUUCUCACCUGGCUUCCCUCCUAGCACUCCAGAUUGCAGGUUGUAUUAUUGUUCAGCAGAGCAAAGGGAGCGCUGGGAUGUCUGCCUUCCUUGCAGCUGAGCACUUUUUAUUGUCUCCCCAACUAGCAGAGAGGUCUGUGGAUUUUACAUCACAAUCAUUCAGGAUCAUGGCUCUCUUUAUCCCAUGCCAUUUCCAGCUCAGUAGGUUUCACUGUACUGAAUUUAGAACUGAAGACUUGUGUGUUUUAAUUUUGUUUUAACUAAUUACAUUUUAAAUGUAUUUUAUGAAGCAGCUUUGGGAAGUUUAUUAAAAUCCAUUUAAAAGAGCCGGGGAUUUAGCUCAGUGGUUUUGCCGCCUGCUGCACAAACGCAAGGACCAGAGUUCUAUCCCUGGUACCAAAAAAAAAAAAAAAAAAAAAAAUCCAUUUAAAAAGAAGGCUUUGCAGAGUUCAAAUAUACUAAAUUAAAUGAAAUAUUCAGGAUUACCUCAUUUAGUUGUUGACUCCCUAGAAAUUAUACCUGGUGGAUUUCUGGAAAGAAAAUGGUUCUUUCCCAGAGGAAGGAAAAGGAAACUAAUGGAAAAAGCUUAAAGAAGCAGAACAAACUGAGGAAGGAGACUCUGCCUCUAGUAAUAGCAGAGGAGGCAACGCCUGCUGAAAACCAGUUUUGAGAAAAGUAUCUUAUUUGCAAUCUACUUAGAUAUAAUUUACUUGCUUGAUUGUUCAGUAUUUAGGAACACAGUAGUGUUUCCCUGCUAGAAUGUGAGCUGCACAAGGCAUGGGUCUUUGUUUUUGCUGCAGUGACCUAAGCCUCCAGAAUAGCAUCCAGCACAUACCAGCUGUCACGUAAUCACUGGUAUCUGGGUGAGUGAAUUAUCUACAAACUCUUCCGUCUUGGAAGUGCUUACUUUCUUCCUCAGAGGAGCUCUCUUUAGGGUCCCUCCUGCACCUCUCCCUCUUCCUGCCCAGUGUCCUUGCAAUGCAUCUGAGUUCCCUGGAGAACAGUCUUAGGAGGCCAUGGUCAGCUCCCCGGAGAACAGUCUUAGGAGGCCAUGGUCAGCUCCCCCUCCACAGUGUAGUAAAGAGAAUCCCUGGGGCACAGUGACGAGAAAGUGAGCCUGUGGCCCUCUUGGUCUUAGCUGGAAAGGAGAGGGGAAUAAAAAAGGAAAACCAAUUCAAGGACUUAAUCCUACUGAGACCACAAACUGGGAGAGAACUUUGAGUGUGGGUGCCACACUGUACCCCAAGUUGCUCUGAUUUGUUGUGGAUUGUCUCAGGACUGAUGGUAAAGGCUGGAGUGAAAGGCUCUGUAGAUAAUAGUCUCUCCCCAUCCCCUUACUGAAAGAGUACACUGGCUACAGUAUUGGAUUGAAAGAGAUAAGAAACUAAGUCAUAAUUCUGAGAUAUCUCAUGACCUGCCUGUCCGCGAGUGACAGCCUGGCUGGCAAAAUCAAAAUGGCCCAAGAAGGGGCACUGUCAAAGCACAAGGGUGCAGGAGAGCAGACAGGAGGAGGUUGUACUUGCUGACCCGCCAGACCCUCCUUCGCCCACCACCUCUCUUCUCCUCUCUUAUCCUUUCUGUAAUCUUUUGCAUACCUAAUUCCAUCCUAGCAUGAGCUUUUUGGAGGACUUGAACUGAUUUACCCUCAACAGCCUGCUAACUAAAAUCCUCCAGUAUCGGUGCUGAAGAAAGAGACUGUGGGUAAAUGUGCUAUCUUCUAAAAGCCUUACUGGGAAUAAUGUACCCCCAAAUGUAGAUGGCAGGUGCCAAUUCUGAUCAUGUGAUGGCAUCACUGAGGGAGGUUAAUGAUCCGUUUCAUAGGUAGCUUUGGAAUAUCUUUAAACCUUUUAAAUAGGUAUAUGAUGUCAGAUGUGUUUGCAAAUCUCCCUGAAGAAGGUGGAGAGCUUUUAGCACAUUCAUCUACAAAGUUAUCAACAGUGCCGGUUAGUUAACUUGGUAGUUUGUUCACAAGUGACGGUAACUUAAAAUCUACAUUACAUAACUUAUUUUAUGCAAUAAUAAUGAUGCUUCUAUUUCCCACCCCAUGCUAAAUGAACUUCAGUUAUCUCUAGAGCUCUGCCAACUAAGACUUCAGUACACAGAGAACCAGUGCUACAUCCUUUACCUAACACCACCCUUUAAAAGAAAUUAUGCCCUAAUUUACAAAGUUCCUAGCAGAAAAGAAAAGUACUUGAGAAAUCAGUAGGUUAAUUUUUUGUUUGGGGACUAAAUCUCAGUUGAAGAUGCUUCAACUCCCAGCCCAGACAGUGCCGCCCAUUAACCCACAGGGAGGAGAGGCGGGAAGCUCCUCCAGCAGCUGUUCUCUGGGACAAUGUUUCCACCAGCAUCACUUCCAUCAGAAGCAGGCAGGACAUCUGUGUCAGCAGCACAAGUGUUCUGUGUCAGCAUCUCUGUUUCACACUACCCGCUAAGUGCAUAAAGUUUAAUUAGACCAAAGGCCAGGAGUGGUUUGUUGAUAGCUCCACCUGGAAGCUAUGGCCUCCUAGGAGAGUAUAGUUCCUGCCCCACCCUAGGGAACCCUCUAUGUCAGGAAAAAGCCAACCGCUCACAGCUCAUGGCUUGUUCCCUACAGGAAACUAUUCUCAAAAAGUAAUAACCUCACCCCUGAAUCUAGUGGAAUAUUUAUGGGGAGCUGGGAAUCCGUAAUUUGUCUGGACACUCACAGACACCUCUGUGCUCUGCUACUGCUGACCUCAGCCAAGGCCCCUGAGUUCAUCCCAGGCAAGUUUAUCUGCUUUCUCUCUGACUUCAGUGGCAGGAGGGAAGCAGACAGCAGACAGCCUGAGCUCUCUGUCAGGCGUCAGGCAGGACUGAGGGAAGGGACAGAUUGUGCCUCUCACAGACAGUGGUGAGAGUCCUAGGAUGAAAUGAGAACUCCCCUCCCUUCCCCUCUUCUCUCAGUGUUGAGUCUGCAUGAAAAAUACUUGCUCUGGAAUCUCCAUUUUUUUCUGUUCCUAGUAGGAUUGAGUGAUCAAUCUUGAAAAAUUCAGAAGAGAUGCUGCAGGGCAGGGAAAGGGCAAUGCAGAUUUUGGUCUUUCCAGUUACCAAGGGGAGAGUUAAACCCAGUAAGUUUUAGAACAUAUCGAAGUACUUGAAAACCUUUUUAAGAAAUAAACAUAAGAGGGGACUUAAUAAAACUGUGCUAAGAGGAGGAGAAAUCAGAGGUUUCGCUGUGAUGAUGACAAUCAGAUACUAACUUCUAACAAAACAGUUACUACCUCCAGCUACUACUUUCCUGACUACUAGCUGAGUGCCUUAUAUUUCCAGAUCUCCUGGAACCUUCUUUUUCUAAGAGGAACAAUCACCUACAUCCUGUGUUAACAUAUCUGUUCUGAAGCUCACACACACACACACACACACACACACACACACACACACACUCCAGCACUUUUAAAGCAUUACUCUUCAUUGCAGAAAUGUCAUAGAAUAGCCAAGAAAUUUAAGACAGUUAUCAUGAUUUAGACCAAGUAAAAGCUCUUGUCUUGGGUUUUAGACAUUUGCUUGAAAAAAUCUCUAUGCCAGGCCCUGACAGAGACUCAGAAAGGACAAUGGAUCAUUUAGUGUGGGGCCACUCAUGUCCUCAACCAGUAGCACUUAGACUAUUCCGCCAAAUGACUGAGUAAACCCCACUAGUUCUUGCAAAAUAUGAUAAACAUGAUUUCUUCUGUUUUGCCAAUGUCUAGUUAAUAUUUUAAAUAUAUACUUUCUUAGCAUUCCCGGAAUUACAGACAUGAGGAUCAGGGUAAAAAUACACAGCAUUCGGUGGCACAUGUUACUUUGUUAAUGCAGAGUAACAGUUUUCACUUGGACUGCAUCUUUUUGAAGGAUUGCAAAGUGCUUUACUCCUGUCACUGCAGAGACAUUAUUCAAUCACUUUGAAGACAUAAAGAACCAAAAAAAAAUCUCUGAAAAUGAAAGAAGAGAAAUGCUUUUUCUACUAAUAAAAAGGAAAAGGGAAGGUCAUAGGAAAUUACAGACUGCUGGUCUUAUAUGAGCACCAAAACAAAUGACCAAAUAAGCCUCUACCACACCUCCUAACUAGCAGUGAACACAACUCUUUAGUGAGCAUCACACCAACUAGGAUUAUGUUGGGCUUUGUUUCUGUUAUGUUUUGUUUUUUGUUUGGAAUCACACUUAAUGUCAACAGGUUUUUGAAUCCAGCAUUAAAUAAACAUGAUGCUAUGCAUGAGGAGUGAGAAGACAUGGGUCUAGCCUUGUCUCUUCCACAUGAUUCCGAGUAAACCUCACUUAUCCCUUUAUUUGAUGGAUUACCCACCAGUAAAUCAGAUAAUACUUUUAACUUGUCAGUGUCUCUUUAACUUCAGCCCUUAAGAAGCUUAAAACUGGGACUCCAAAUCCCUAGGAUAUUUCCAUCUCUAGUAAACACUCCACCUAGACUGGCUACCAGACUCACAGGAUCCCACUGCUGGAAUUCGUCCCUUUGGUAUGGCAGGUUCAGCAUGGAAAAUGGUCACAUCUGAAAUCUAGGGUCCGACUGCGUGUCCCUAGCUGAUCAGUGCAGUGCGCACACUUCAUUCAAACAGGCUCAAUCAAAGGCUUUCUCCCAGGACACCAAAUGGAAAGACAGAAAGACUCACAAAUAUUAAAAAUGGUCAGUUUAGAGAGUCCAGAAGACAUUUUUUAAACUGUGAAAGAAAGGAAUGGAACAAAAAGGAAUGGAAUGGACCGGGAGUGCUGGGAUCCAGAUGUUCAGCUGUACAACUCUCCACCUCCAUCUGGAGUCUGCCAGGUGCCCUCGUGUUCUGAGACCCAGGCCUGUGGGUCAUCCUGAGGGCCCACAAGUGGAUCCUGGCUCCAGGAGGUACCAGGUGAGGGAACCACUUUGCUGACUGCUCAAUGUUUCUUUCAUGGAUCAGAUGAGCUUAGGCUACCAGGAUGAUAUAUGAACACGCUGGUCCCUGUGGGAGAACAUCACUACCAGGAAGAACAAAGUUGGUUUU
ensembl:lncRNA